rnacentral:rRNA from 1 species
UAUAUUUAAGUUGUUGCGGUUGAAAAGCUCGUAGUUGGAUUUUGGGACGGCGCGUCUGGUCGGCCGCAAGGCUUGUACUGCACGCGCUGUCCUCACAUGACCGGUGCCUCUAAGGUGCUCUUAACUGAGUGCUUUUGUGGUCCGGGAAGUUUACCUUGAAAAAAUUAGAGUGUUCAAAGCAGGCUUAAAGCUUGAAUAAUGUUGCAUGGAAUAAUGGAAUAGGACCUCGGUUCUAUUUUGUUGGUUUUCGGAGCGCGAGGUAAUGAUUAAGAGGAACGGACGGGGGCAUCCGUACUGUGCCGUUAGAGGUGAAAUUCUUGGAUCGGCGCAAGACGAACAACUGCGAAAGCAUUUGCCAAGAAUGUUUUCUUUAAUCAAGAGCGAAAGUCAGAGGUUCGAAGACGAUCAGAUACCGUCCUAGUUCUGACCUUAAACGAUGCCGACUAGCGAUCGGGCAGCGUCGAUAUAAGACCUGCCCGGCAGCUUCCGGGAAACCAAAGUCUUUGGGUUCCGGGG